CCUACGGGAGGCAGCAGUGAGGAAUAUUGGUCAAUGGACGAGAGUCUGAACCAGCCAAGUAGCGUGAAGGAUGACUGCUCUAUGGGUUGUAAACUUCUUUUAUAAAGGAAUAAAACUAUCCACGUGUGCCUUUUUGCAUGUACUUUAUGAAUAAGGAUCGGCUAACUCCGUGCCAGCAGCCGCGGUAAUACGGAGGAUCCGAGCGUUAUCCGGAUUUAUUGGGUUUAAAGGGUGCGUAGAUGGUUUUUUAAGUCAGUGGUGAAAGUUUGUGGCUCAACCGUAAAAUUGCCAUUGAUACUGGAAGUCUUGAGUACAGUUGAGGUAGGCGGAAUUCGUGGUGUAGCGGUGAAAUGCUUAGAUAUCACGAAGAACCCCGAUUGCGAAGGCAGCUUACUAAGCUGUAACUGACAUUGAUGCUCGAAAGUGUGGGGAUCAAACAGGAUUAGAUACCCGUGUAGUC
rnacentral:rRNA from 1 species